rnacentral:rRNA from 1 species
GACGAACGCUGGCGGCGUGCUUAACACAUGCAAGUCGAACGGUGACCCUCGGAGCUUGCUUCGGGGUGAGCAGUGGCGAACGGGUGAGUAACACGUGAGUAACCUGCCCCAGACUCUGGAAUAAGCGCUGGAAACGGCGUCUAAUACCGGAUAUGACACGGACGGGCAUCCGUAUCGUGUGGCACGUUUUUUCGGUCUGGGAUGGACUCGCGGCCUAUCAGCUUGUUGGUGAGGUAAUGGCUCACCAAGGCGAUGACGGGUAGCCGGCCUGAGAGGGCGAUCGGCCACACUGGGACUGAGACACGGCCCAGACUCCUACGGGAGGCAGCAGUGGGGAAUAUUGCACAAUGGGCGAAAGCCUGAUGCAGCGACGCCGCGUGAGGGAUGACGGCCUUCGGGUUGUAAACCUCUUUCAGCAGGGAAGAAGCGCAAGUGACGGUACCUGCAGAAGAAGCACCGGCUAACUACGUGCCAGCAGCCGCGGUAACAC